CAAAAACAUGUCCUUUAGAAUUUAAUUUAAGGUCUAACCUGCCCACUGAAUUUUUUUUGAUGGCCGCAGUAAUUUGACUGUGCAAAGGUAGCAUAAUCAUUAGUUUUUUAAUUGAAAGCUUGUAUGAAGGGUUGGACGAGGUAAAAUCUGUCUCUAAUAAAUUUAAUUUAGAAUUUAACUUUUAAGUCAAAAGGCUUAAAUAAUAUUAAAAGACGAGAAGACCCUAUAGAUCUUUAUAUUUAAAAUAUUAAAUUUAAUUAAGAAUUUUUAAAAUUUUAUUAUUUUAAUUAUUUUAUUGGGGUAAUAUAAAGAUUAAAAUAAUUCUUUUUUUUUAUUUACAUAAAUUUAUGAAUUUGUGAUCCAAUUAUAUUGAUUAUAAGAUUAAGUUACCUUAGGGAUAACAGCGUAAUUUUUUUAAAGAGUUCUUAUCGAUAAAAAAGUUUGCGACCUCGAUGUUGGAUUAAAGAUUAUUUCAGGUGCAGAAGUUUGAAAAUUUUGGUCUGUUCGACCAUUAAAUCUUUAC
rnacentral:rRNA from 1 species